GAUGAAGAACGCAGCGAAAUGCGAUAAGUAAUGUGAAUUGCAGAAUUCAGUGAAUCAUCGAAUCUUUGAACGCACAUUGCGCCCGCGAGUAUUCUCGCGGGCAUGCCUGUCCGAGCGUCAUUUCAACCCUCAGGUCCCGCCUGCUUGCAGGCGCGGCGCUGGUGUUGGGGAUCGGCUACCCUGCCGUCCCCCAAAUACAGUGGCGGUCUCGCUGCAGCCUCCCCUGCGUAGUAGCAACACUCGCAUGCGGAGCGCGGCGCGGCCACGCCGUAAAACCCCCGACUUUCUGAACGUUGACCUCGGAUCAGGUAGGAAUACCCGCUGAACUUAAGCAUAUCAAUAAGCGGAGGA
rnacentral:misc_RNA from 1 species